rnacentral:rRNA from 1 species
AGGACGAACGCUGGCGGCGUGCUUAACACAUGCAAGUCGAGCGGAAAGGCCCUUCGGGGUACUCGAGCGGCGAACGGGUGAGUAACACGUGAGUAAUCUGCCCCUAGCUCUGGGAUAGCUCCGGGAAACCGGGAUUAAUACCGGAUACGACCACUUUAGACAUCUGUUGUGGUGGAAAGAAUUUUGGCUAGGGAUGAGCUCGCGGCCUAUCAGCUUGUUGGUGGGGUAAUGGCCUACCAAGGCGACGACGGGUAGCCGGCCUGAGAGGGCGACCGGCCACACUGGGACUGAGACACGGCCCAGACUCCUACGGGAGGCAGCAGUGGGGAAUAUUGCGCAAUGGGCGAAAGCCUGACGCAGCGACGCCGCGUGGGGGAUGAAGGCCUUCGGGUUGUAAACCCCGUUUCAGCAGGGACGAAGCGAAAGUGACGGUACCUGCAGAAGAAGCGCCGGCUAACUACGUGCCAGCAGCCGC